GCUAAGUUUUCACUUGUGACGCAUUGAGAUCAAAGUUUCUCCUAAUCAUUUCACCUCGGUUAACGCCGGGGUUUUU
rnacentral:ncRNA from 1 species